rnacentral:rRNA from 1 species
GAUGAACGCUGGCGGCGUGCCUAAUACAUGCAAGUCGAGCGAACAGACGAGGAGCUUGCUCCUCUGACGUUAGCGGCGGACGGGUGAGUAACACGUGGAUAACCUACCUAUAAGACUGGGAUAACUUCGGGAAACCGGAGCUAAUACCGGAUAAUAUAUUGAACCGCAUGGUUCAAUAGUGAAAGACGGUUUUGCUGUCACUUAUAGAUGGAUCCGCGCCGCAUUAGCUAGUUGGUAAGGUAACGGCUUACCAAGGCAACGAUGCGUAGCCGACCUGAGAGGGUGAUCGGCGACACUGGAACUGAGACACGGUCCAGACUCCUACGGGAGGCAGCAGUAGGGAAUCAUCCGCAAUGGGCGAAAGCCUGACGGAGCAACGCCGCGUGAGUGAUGAAGGUCUUCGGAUCUUAAAACUCUGUUAUUAGGGAAGAACAAAUGUGUAAGUAACUAUGCACGUCUUGACGGUACCUAAUCAGAAAGCCACGGCUAACUACGUG